rnacentral:rRNA from 1 species
CCUACGGGAGGCAGCAGUGGGGAAUAUUGGACAAUGGGCGAAAGCCUGAUCCAGCCAUGCCGCGUGUGUGAAGAAGGUCUUCGGAUUGUAAAGCACUUUAAGUUGGGAGGAAGGGCAUUAACCUAAUACGUUAGUGUUUUGACGUUACCGACAGAAUAAGCACCGGCUAACUCUGUGCCAGCAGCCGCGGUAAUACAGAGGGUGCAAGCGUUAAUCGGAAUUACUGGGCGUAAAGCGCGCGUAGGUGGUUUGUUAAGUUGGAUGUGAAAUCCCCGGGCUCAACCUGGGAACUGCAUUCAAAACUGACUGACUAGAGUAUGGUAGAGGGUGGUGGAAUUUCCUGUGUAGCGGUGAAAUGCGUAGAUAUAGGAAGGAACACCAGUGGCGAGGACGACGACC